AAGGGAAACGCGAGCGAGUUUUGUUCAGCGCUCAAAGACUGAUUGUGGAUACAUCAUUGUGUGCGUGUGUGUGGGUUUUUGUGAGCGUAAGAGGGUUUGUGGACGGGUUAUUGAAGGAAAGGCUUUAAUACGCCACGGUUUCGUUUCGUCUGGUUAAAGCUGUAUAGCCCACCAUACACCCGAGUUUGUAUAGCCCGUCAAUGCGGGGAGAAUGCUCUAUGCGGGCCCACAAUACCCCCAUUUUCCAUGGGCUUUUAUGCCGAGACCUUCCUAUUGCAAAAGAGGAAAAGAACCUGUUCCUUUAUGCUGUUCUAUGCAAAACAUUAACAAAAACCCAAACCUUGCCUUUUCUCUGGCAGGCUGUAUGGGGUUAAGUAGCGUAGUUAAAUGUACAGGGGUUUCAUUUAGAUAGAAGUAGCGGAGGUGAUAAGAUAAAAUUACGGCGUGGGAGAGCAGAAAAUGGGAGGAAAAUAUGGAUUUUGUGCCAAAAACGGGUUUUCAUUAACAACGGAAAUUGAAGUUUGAUGAAUUAAGAUGGACGAUGGAUGGAGUAUUGUCGAUUUAUUUUGACAUCUGAUUCUCAGCGACAAUAUGAGGAAGUCUUGAAGAGCAGCUGCUUUUCCAAUGAGUUGAACGAGAAGCUACCGACCCUGCCGGCCUAGAGCUUUAAGGUGCGGCAGGUGGGAGUAUGGAACAAAAAAGCGGAACGCGCUGUACCCCUCGUUGAACCCCUUGGGACCAUGGUAUGGUCGCCCGAUGGAGACGGGAUAGAUAGUGGUCCAUGUAUGCUUUGGUAUGCGGAGAACUUGAGGAAAACGCCACAAUGUAUUAUAGCCUAAACGGUAUCUUACAUCAAAACUGAAAGUCACGCACAUGGUCCUUCAUUGCCCGUUAAAGACCGUAUAUGUACUGGCACUGAUGCAGGUCAAGCUCGUAACAUCAUGGACAUCAAUCUGAGAAGGGUCGAACGUAAAACAUUGAUGACGGUAACGGUCGUCAUCACUGCAAGAAGAUGUGUACACCAAGCCUUAUAGAAGUAUAUGACGACCAAGCCAUUGCAAACUGGGAAAAUGAAUGUGAUAGUAAUAUAGUUACUAUCUUCAAUAACGUGUACCCAUCUCAGUACUAGAGACUAUUGUAUUUGUAUGUGUAAUAGUAUACAAAUAAUACACAUCAGUCAGGGCAUUAGUAAGAAUUACCCACACAAGGUACCUCUAGAACAGUUUAACACGCCCGAUGCGGUAGCCGAGGGUGUUUGGACCAUUUUGAAGGUACCGAGUGUGGUUAAUUUUACUAAUUCCCGAACAAAAU